rnacentral:rRNA from 1 species
GAUGAACGCUGGCGGCGUGCCUAAUACAUGCAAGUCGAACGAGUUCUCGUUGAUGAUCGGUGCUUGCACCGAGAUUCAACAUGGAACGAGUGGCGGACGGGUGAGUAACACGUGGGUAACCUGCCCUUAAGUGGGGGAUAACAUUUGGAAACAGAUGCUAAUACCGCAUAGAUCCAAGAACCGCAUGGUUCUUGGCUGAAAGAUGGCGUAAGCUAUCGCUUUUGGAUGGACCCGCGGCGUAUUAGCUAGUUGGUGAGGUAAUGGCUCACCAAGGCGAUGAUACGUAGCCGAACUGAGAGGUUGAUCGGCCACAUUGGGACUGAGACACGGCCCAAACUCCUACGGGAGGCAGCAGUAGGGAAUCUUCCACAAUGGACGCAAGUCUGAUGGAGCAACGCCGCGUGAGUGAAGAAGGCUUUCGGGUCGUAAAACUCUGUUGUUGGAGAAGAAUGGUCGGCAGAGUAACUGUUGUCGGCGUGACGGUAUCCAACCAGAAAGCCACGGCUAACUACGUGCCAGCAGCCGCGGUAAUACGUAGGUGGCAAGCGUUAUCCGGAUUUAUUGGGCGUAAAGCGAGCGCAGGCGGUUUUUUAAGUCUGAUGUGAAAGCCCUCGGCUUAACCGAGGAAGCGCAUCGGAAACUGGGAAACUUGAGUGCAGAAGAGGACAGUGGAACUCCAUGUGUAGCGGUGAAAUGCGUAGAUAUAUGGAAGAACACCAGUGGCGAAUGCGGCUGUCUGGUCUGUAACUGACGCUGAGGCUCGAAAGCAUGGGUAGCGAACAGGAUUAGAUACCCUGGUAGUCCAUGCCGUAAACGAUGAAUGCUAGUGUUGGAGGGUUUCCGCCCUUCAGUGCCGCAGCUAACGCAUUAAGCAUUCCGCCUGGGGAGUACGACCGCAAGGUUGAAACUCAAAGGAAUUGACGGGGCCCGCACAAGCGGUGGAGCAUGUGGUUUAAUUCGAAGCAACGCGAAGAACCUUAUCAGGUCUUGACAUCUUUUGAUCACCUGAGAGAUCAGGCUUCCCCUUCGGGGGCAAAAUGACAGGUGGUGCAUGGUGUCGUCAGCUCGUGUCGUGAGAUGUUGGGUUAAGUCCCGCAACGAGCGCAACCCUUAUGACUAGUUGCCAGCAUUUAGUUGGGCACUCUAGUAAGACUGCCGGUGACAAACCGGAGGAAGGUGGGGAUGACGUCAAAUCAUCAUGCCCCUUAUGACCUGGGCUACACACGUGCUACAAUGGAUGGUACAACGAGUUGCGAGACCGCGAGGUCAAGCUAAUCUCUUAAAGCCAUUCUCAGUUCGGACUGUAGGCUGCAACUCGCCUACACGAAGUCGGAAUCGCUAGUAAUCGCGGGUCAGCACGCCGCGGUGAAUACGUUCCCGGGCCUUGUACACACCGCCCGUCACACCAUGAGAGUUUGUAACACCCGAAGCCGGUGGCGUAACCCUUUUAGGGAGCGAGCCGUCUAAGGUGGGACAAAUGAUUAGGGUG